GCGUCAGUAGGCCUUCUUUACACAUGUCCAAACCACCGUAACCGAUUUUCUCUCAUCUUUCCUUCAAUUUCGGCUACUCCUACUUUACCUCGGAUAUCUUCAUUCCUAAUCUUAUCAUUUCUCGUGUGCCCACACAUCCAACGAAGCAUCCUCAUCUCCACUACACCUACGUGUUAAUGCUUCACCGCCCAACAUUCUGU
rnacentral:lncRNA from 1 species